ACGGGGCCGGCACAAGCAGUGGAGUAUGUGGUUUAAUUCGAAGCAACGCGAAGAACCUUACCAGGGCUUGACAUCCCUUGAAGCAGCUAGAGAUAGCUGUGCCUUCGGGACAAGGAGACAGGUGGUGCAUGGUUGUCGUCAGCUCGUGUCGUGAGAUGUUGGGUUAAGUCCCGCAACGAGCGCAACCCCUACGUUUAGUUGCUAACGCGUGAAGGCGAGCACUCUAGACGAACUGCCGUUGACAAAACGGAGGAAGGUGGGGAUGACGUCAAAUCAUCAUGCCCCUUAUGUUCUGGGCUACACACGUGCUACAAUGGCCGGUACAGACGGACGCAAAGCCGCGAGGUGGAGCAAAUCCUAAAAAAGCCGGUCUCAGUUCGGAUUGCAGGCUGCAAUUCGCCUGCAUGAAGUCGGAAUCGCUAGUAAUCGCAGGUCAGCAUACUGCGGUGAAUACGUUCCCGGGCCUU
rnacentral:rRNA from 1 species